rnacentral:tRNA from 2 species
GAGGCGUAACUCAAUGGUAGAGUAACAGACUUUUAAUCUGUGAGUUCAGGGUUCGAGUCCCUGCGCCUCC